rnacentral:ncRNA from 2 species
CCGCGUCCAGGGGAUGGGGUGCCCCCUAAACCGCCGCAAAGGCUGAUGACUCCUGCUUGUUC